GAUGAACGCUGGCGGCGUGCCUAAUACAUGCAAGUCGAGCGAACAGACGAGGAGCUUGCUCCUCUGACGUUAGCGGCGGACGGGUGAGUAACACGUGGAUAACCUACCUAUAAGACUGGGAUAACUUCGGGAAACCGGAGCUAAUACCGGAUAAUAUAUUGAACCGCAUGGUUCAAUAGUGAAAGACGGUUUUGCUGUCACUUAUAGAUGGAUCCGCGCCGCAUUAGCUAGUUGGUAAGGUAACGGCUUACCAAGGCAACGAUGCGUAGCCGACCUGAGAGGUGGAUCGCCCAAACGGGAACUGAGACAGGGUCCAGACUCCUACGGGAGGAAGCAGUAGGGAAUCUUCCGCAAUGGGCGAAAGCCUGACGGAGCAACGCCGCGUGAGUGAUGAAGGUCUUCGGAUCGUAAAACUCUGUUAUUAGGGAAGAACAAAUGUGUAAGUAACUAUGCACGUCUUGACGGUACCUAAUCAGAAAGCCACGGCUAACUACGUG
rnacentral:rRNA from 1 species